AAAAAUUGCUGUUGAAUCUAAAAAAAUUAGCAAAAUUGAAGUGGAGAAUAUCAAACCAUAUUCUACUUGCCAAUCAAUGAGCUAGAUAUAGAGUUGUAUAGAUAAAAUCCUCUUUGAAAUUACAUUUCAUCACAAAUUGGAGCUCAAUUCAUUGCAAGACCAAGAUGGGUUUAGAAAAUUUUAUUGAAUUUACUUUGCAAGGGGUGGGGUGGUUGGGGGGAUUUGCUUGGCAGAAAAACUAAGAAGAUAAAAGAAAAACAUGUUCUAGCUAAGAAAAAAAAUUGAGAAAACUGAAUUGUGUUGGAAUAGAUGAGAUUUUACCUUAAUUUAUG
rnacentral:misc_RNA from 1 species